rnacentral:ncRNA from 1 species
UGACCUCGGAUCAGACGUGAUUACCCGCUGAAUUUAAGCAUAUUAUUAAGCGGAGGAAAAGAAACUAACAAGGAUUCCCCUAGUAACGGCGACAGUGAACGGGGAAGAGCCCAACACGAAUCCCUUGGCGCAAAGUCAACGGGAAAUGUGGUGUUAAGGUAGCCCUUCGUGUCAGUCUAGGCGUCUCAAGUCCACCUGAUUGUGGCUCAAGCCCAGAGAGGGUGUAAAGGCCCGUAGAGACGCUCCGACUGAUUCCUGGGGUUUACCUACGAGUCGGCUUGUUUGGGAAUGCAGGCCAAAGCGGGUGGUAAACUCCAUCCAAGGCUAAAUACUGGCACGAGUCCGAUAGCGGACAAGUACCGUGAGGGAAAGUUGAAAAGAACUUUGAAGAGAGAGUUCAAUAGUACGUGAAACCGCUUAGAGGCAAACGGAUGGUGCUCAUACUGGCCUGAGGAAUUCAACUGUGACGGUGGCUGGACGAGCUGGCGUUCCGAUCUCUCUUUUGGGACGGGCGUCGGUUUGGCUUAUCAGCUCCGACAUGGUGCACUUUCCUUGGUGCCUCCGCCACGACCGACGACACUGGCUACGCGGCUGGCGGGGUAAGGUGACAAACUGCUUCGGCAAUUUGUGUUAUAGACCCCGGCGUCGGACAUGGUUUGGCCAGGACGUCGAGCUUGCGGCGCCCGCUCCUUGUGGGCUCGCAUGUUGGCUAGCUUGGCUGCGCCGAUGCUUGCACUGGACAACCAGUACAGGUGACGGUUGUGGUCUUGUCUCUAGUUGGCCUCUGCGAGUUUGGCGCCUAUAGUCUGUGGUGUACUUGUGGGUAGACUAUCCGACCCGUCUUGAAACACGGACCAAGGAGUCUAACAUGUGCGCGAGUCAUGGGGAUUCUACGAAACCCAAAGGCCGCAGUGAAAGUAAAGGCCUGCUUCUCGUAGGCUGAGGUGGGAUCUCGUGCAUCGCGAUUGCGAGCGCCACCACCGGCCCGUCCUAUCUGUCUCUGUCAGGGGCGGCGCAAGAGCGUACACGUUGGGACCCGAAAGAUGUGGUGAACUAUGCUUGCGCAGCUCGAAGUCAGUGGAAACACUGAUGGAGGAGCGCAGCGUUUCUGACGUGCAAAUCGAUCGUCAAACGUUGAGUAUAGGGGCGAAAGACUAAUCGAACCAUCUAGUAGCUGGUUCCCUCCGAAUUUCCCCUCAGGAUAGCUGGCACUCGGGAAACAGUUUUAUCCGGUAAAGCGAAUGAUUAGAGGCAUUGGGGUCGAAACGACCUCGACCUAUUCUCAAACUUUAAAUGGGUAAGAUGCUCGUCUCGCUUAAUUGGAGGCGGGCUUCACCUCUCUAUAAACGUGAAUGUGAGUGCCCAGUGGGCCAUUUUUGGUAAGCAGAACUGGCGCUGUGGAUGAACCAAACGCGCGGUUAAGGCGCCCAAUGCGGACGCCUCAUGAGACACCACAAAAGGUGUUGGUCGAUACUGACAGCAGGACGGUGGCCAUGGAAGUCGGAACCCGCUAAGGAGUGUGUAACAACUCACCUGCCGAAUCAACCAGCCCUGAAAAUGGAUGGCGCUGGAGCGUCGGGCCUAUACCGUUGCCGUUGGGCGAAGCAGACAAAUAAUCUGUGUGGAUGUCCCAACGAGUAGGAGGAGGGUCGCCGUGGUGAGCGCAGAAGGUGCGGCCGUGAGGCCGGCUGGAGCCGCCACGGGCGCAGAUCUUGGUGGUAGUAGCAAUUACUCAAGUGAGAACCUUGAGGACUGAAGUGGAGAAGGGUUCCAUGUGAACAGCAGUUGAACAUGGGUCAGGCGGUUCCUAAGCGAUCGGCGUAACUCCGUACCUAGACGAGGGGUGACAACUAUCACUGAUAAUACUGUGAAGUGUUAUAGCCCUCCGGAGCGAAAGGGAAUCGUGUUAAUAUUCACGACCCUUACCGUGGAGAUCGCCCCUUUCGGGGGGCAAGUGCGGUAACGCAAACGAACACAGAGACGUCGGCUGGAGCCCCGGGAAAGAGUUCUCUUUUCUUUGUAAGGAGCGUACCCCCUGGAAUCGGCUUGUCCGGAGAUAGGGGCGUGGCUUCCGUAAAGCAGCGCGCGGGUCUUGCGCUGUCCGGUGCACUCUAGUCGCCCUUUGAAAAUCUGUGGGAGACAGUGUGAUUUUCACGGUAGGCCGUACCCAUAUCCGCAGCAGGUCUCCAAGCGUGAACAGCCUCUAGUCCUAGAACAAUGUAGGUAAGGAAGUCGGCAAAAUGGAUCCGUAACUUCGGGAAAAGGAUUGGCUCUGAGGCUGGGUCGGAUGGGCUGGCGUAAGAAGCUGUUCGGUUUUGGUGAGGAGGACUGGGUGAGGCUUUCGGCUUUACUCGGACCAUGCCGAGACCAGGCAGUAGACGACGUCAGCUGUGCUUGUCGUGUUUCGGCGCGGCAGCUUCGUCCGGCAACAAACAGCCAACUCAGAACUGGCACGGACUAGGGGAAUCCGACUGUCUAAUUAAAACAAAGCAUUGCGAUGGCUGUUGCUCGUGUUGACGCAAUGUGAUUUCUGCCCAGUGCUCUGAAUGUCAAGUGAAAGAAAUUUCAAUUCAAGCGCGGGUAAACGGCGGAGUAACUAUGACUCUCUUAAGGUAGCAAUGCCUGGCGUCAUCUAAUUAGUGACGCGCCAUGAAUGGAUUACGAGAUUCUCACUUUCCUCUUAUCUUACUAUCUAGCGAAACCACAGCAAGGGAACGGGCUUGGCAGAAUCAGCGGGGAAGAAGACCCUGUUGAGCUGU